rnacentral:rRNA from 1 species
GACAGAGGGGGCAAGCGUUGCUCGGAAUCACUGGGCGUAAAGGGCGCGUAGGCGGGAUGGCAAGUCGGUCGUGAAAUCCUUCGGCUCAACCGAAGAACGUCGGCCGAUACUGCCGUUCUUGAGGGAUGCAGAGGAGAUUGGAAUUCCCGGUGUAGCGGUGAAAUGUGUAGAGAUCGGGAGGAACACCGGUGGCGAAGACGGGUCUCUGGGCAUCUCCUGACGCUGAGGCGCGAAAGCGUGGGGAGCAAACGGGG